rnacentral:rRNA from 1 species
UGACAAACAUAAGAGGUCCAGCCUGCCCAGUGACAAAGUUCAACGGCCGCGGUACCCUAACCGUGCGAAGGUAGCAUAAUCACUUGUUCUUUAAAUGAGGACUUGUAUCAACGGCACUACGAGGGCUAUACUGUCUCCUUUUUCUAAUCAGUGAAACUGAUCUCCCCGUGAAGAAGCGGGGAUUGAGAUAUAAGACGAGAAGACCCCAUGGAGCUUUAAACUCACCAUGCACCUCUGUGCUCCCAUACCCCUAAACACAACAGACCUGCAUGUUAGUUUUAGGUUGGGGUGACCACGGAGUACAAUUCAACCUCCAUAGCAAAUGGGCUAAAACCCUUAUCCACGAGACACACCUCUAAGAAUUACUAAACUAAUGCUUACGACCCGAUAUUCGAUCAAUGAACCAAGUUACCCUGGGGAUAACAGCGCAAUCUACUUCAAGAGCCCAUAUCGACAAGUAGGU